rnacentral:rRNA from 1 species
AACGAACGCUGGCGGCAUGCCUAACACAUGCAAGUCGAACGAGACCUUCGGGUCUAGUGGCGCACGGGUGCGUAACGCGUGGGAACCUGCCCUUAGGUUCGGAAUAACUCCCCGAAAGGGGUGCUAAUACCGGAUAAUGUCUUCGGACCAAAGAUUUAUCGCCUUUGGAUGGGCCCGCGUUGGAUUAGCUAGUUGGUAGGGUAAAAGCCUACCAAGGCGACGAUCCAUAGCUGGUCUGAGAGGAUGUUCAGCCACACUGGGACUGAGACACGGCCCAGACUCCUACGGGAGGCAGCAGUGGGGAAUAUUGGACAAUGGGCGAAAGCCUGAUCCAGCAAUGCCGCGUGAGUGAUGAAGGCCUUAGGGUUGUAAAGCUCUUUUACCCGGGAUGAUAAUGACAGUACCGGGAGAAUAAGCGCCGGCUAACUCCGUG